AUUGAACGCUGGCGGCAGGCCUAACACAUGCAAGUCGAACGGUAACAGGAAGCAGCUUGCUGCUUUGCUGACGAGUGGCGGACGGGUGAGUAAUGUCUGGGAAACUGCCUGAUGGAGGGGGAUAACUACUGGAAACGGUAGCUAAUACCGCAUAACGUCGCAAGACCAAAGAGGGGGACCUUCGGGCCUCUUGCCAUCGGAUGUGCCCAGAUGGGAUUAGCUUGUUGGUGGGGUAACGGCUCACCAAGGCGACGAUCCCUAGCUGGUCUGGGAGGAUGACCAGCCACACUGGAACUGAGACACGGUCCAGACUCCUACGGGAGGCAGCAGUGGGGAAUAUUGCACAAUGGGCGCAAGCCUGAUGCAGCCAUGCCGCGUGUAUGAAGAAGGCCUUCGGGUUGUAAAGUACUUUCAGCGGGGAGGAAGGGAGUAAAGUUAAUACCUUUACUCAUUGACGUUACCCGCAGAAGAAGCACCGGCUAACUCCGUG
rnacentral:rRNA from 1 species